rnacentral:rRNA from 1 species
UCCCCUAGUAACUGCGAGUGAAGCGGGAAAAGCUCAAAUUUAAAAUCUGGCGGUCUUUUGGCUGUCCGAGUUGUAAUCUAGAGAAGCAUUAUCCGCGCUGGACCGUGUACAAGUCUCCUGGAACGGAGCGUCAUAGAGGGUGAGAAUCCCGUCUUUGACACGGACUACCAGGGCUUUGUGAUGUGCUCUCAAAGAGUCGAGUUGUUUGGGAAUGCAGCUCUAAAUGGGUGGUAAAUUCCAUCUAAAGCUAAAUAUUGGCGAGAGACCGAUAGCGAACAAGUACCGUGAGGGAAAGAUGAAAAGAACUUUGGAAAGAGAGUUAAACAGUACGUGAAAUUGUUGAAAGGGAAACGCUUGAAGUCAGUCGCGUCUAUUGGAGAUCAGCCUUGCUCUUUUGCUUGGUGUAUUUUCUGAUAAACGGGUCAGCAUCAAUUUCGACUAAUGGAAAAAGGUCGAGGGAAUGUGGCAUCUUCGGAUGUGUUAUAGCCUUCGGCUGUAUACAUUAGUUGGGAUUGAGGAAUUCAGCACGCCGCAAGGCCGGGUCUUUUGACUACGUUCGUGCUUAGGAUGCUGGCAUAAUGGCUUUAAUCGACCCGUCUUGAAACACGGACCAAGGAGUCUAACAUGCCUGCGAGUGUUUGGGUGGAAAACCCAUACGCGUAAUGAAAGUGAAAGUUGAGAUCCCUGUCGUGGGGAGCAUCGACGCCCGGACCAGACCUUUUGUGACGGAUCCGCGGUAGAGCAUGUAUGUUGGGACCCGAAAGAUGGUGAACUAUGCCUGAAUAGGGUGAAGCCAGAGGAAACUCUGGUGGAGGCUCGUAGCGAUUCUGACGUGCAAAUCGAUCGUCAAAUUUGGGUAUAGGGGCGAAAGA